rnacentral:rRNA from 1 species
AUUGAACGCUGGCGGAAUGCUUUACACAUGCAAGUCGAACGGCAGCACGGGGGCAACCCUGGUGGCGAGUGGCGAACGGGUGAGUAAUACAUCGGAACGUGCCCGGUCGUGGGGGAUAACGUAGCGAAAGUUACGCUAAUACCGCAUACGAUCUGAGGAUGAAAGCGGGGGACCUUCGGGCCUCGCGCGAUCGGAGCGGCCGAUGUCCGAUUAGGUAGUUGGUGGGGUAAAGGCCUACCAAGCCGACGAUCUGUAGCUGGUCUGAGAGGACGACCAGCCACACUGGGACUGAGACACGGCCCAGACUCCUACGGGAGGCAGCAGUGGGGAAUUUUGGACAAUGGGCGCAAGCCUGAUCCAGCCAUGCCGCGUGCAGGACGAAGGCCUUCGGGUUGUAAACUGCUUUUGUAUGGAGCGAAAAGGCUCUGGCUAAUACCUGGGGCCCAUGACGGUACCGUAAGAAUAAGCACCGGCUAACUACGUG